GACGAACGCUGGCGGUGUGCUUCACACAUGCAAGUCGAACGAGGUAGCAAUACCUAGUGGCGGACGGGUGAGUAACGCGUGGGAAUCUGCCUUUAGAUGGGGGAUAACGGGUCGAAAGACUCGCUAAUACCGCAUAUGACGAAAGUUGAAAGGAGUAAUCCGUCUAAAGAUGAGCCCGCGUCCGAUUAGCUAGUUGGUAGAGUAAAAGCCUACCAAGGCGACGAUCGGUAGCUGGUCUGAGAGGAUGAUCAGCCACAAUGGGACUGAGACACGGCCCAUACUCCUACGGAGGCAGCAGUGGGGAAUUUUGGACAAUGGGGGCAACCCUGAUCCAGCCAUGCCGCGUGAGUGAUGAAGGCCCUAGGGUUGUAAAGCUCUUUUGUGCGGGAAGAUAAUGACGGUACCGCAAGAAUAAGCCCCGGCUAACUUCGUGCCAGCAGCCGCGGUAAU
rnacentral:rRNA from 1 species